rnacentral:rRNA from 1 species
AGAGUUUGAUCCUGGCUCAGGAUGAACGCUAGCGGCAGGCUUAACACAUGCAAGUCGAACGGCAGCGGGGGAGGACUUCGGUCCUCCCGCCGGCGAGUGGCGCACGGGUGAGUAACACGUAUGCAACCUGCCCUUGUCUGGGGUAUAACCCUGCGAAAGCAGGGCUAAUACCGCGUAUAUGUCCCCGGGGCAUCCCGGGGACAGGAAAGGCUUCGGCCGGACAAGGAUGGGCAUGCGGCGCAUUAGGCAGUUGGCGGGGUAACGGCCCACCAAACCGACGAUGCGUAGGGGUUCUGAGAGGAAGGUCCCCCACACUGGUACUGAGACACGGACCAGACUCCUACGGGAGGCAGCAGUGAGGAAUAUUGGUCAAUGGGCGGGAGCCUGAACCAGCCAAGUCGCGUGAGGGAAGACGGCCCUACGGGUUGUAAACCUCUUUUGUCAGGGAGCAAGAACAGGCACGCGUGCCUGACUGAGAGUACCUGAAGAAAAAGCAUCGGCUAACUCCGUGCCAGCAGCCGCGGUAAUACGGAGGAUGCGAGCGUUAUCCGGAUUUAUUGGGUUUAAAGGGUGCGUAGGCGGACUGUUAAGUCAGCGGUAAAAGCCCGGGGCUCAACCCCGGCGAGCCGUUGAAACUGGCGGACUAGAGAGGAAGAGAAGUAGGCGGAAUGCGCGGUGUAGCGGUGAAAUGCUUAGAUAUCGCGCAGAACUCCGAUUGCGAAGGCAGCCUACCGGCUUCUAUCUGACGCUCAGGCACGAAAGCGUGGGUAUCGAACAGGAUUAGAUACCCUGGUAGUCCACGCAGUAAACGAUGAAUACUGGCUGUGUGGCCCGACUGAGGGCUGCGUGGCGUAGCGAAAGCGUUAAGUAUUCCACCUGGGGAGUACGCCGGCAACGGUGAAACUCAAAGGAAUUGAC